rnacentral:rRNA from 1 species
GAUCUUGGUCAGGACUAACGCUGGCGGUGCGCCGUAACACAUGCAAGUCGUACGGGCUCCUCGGGAGCUAGUGGCAGACGGGUGAGUAACGCGUAGGUAAUGUACCUCUUCGCUGGGGGAUACCUACCUGAAAAGGUGGCUAAAACCGAAUGAGCUUUUCAAGCGGCAUCGCUUGAUUUGCAAACCUCCGGGGCGAAGAGAUCAGCUUGCGUACUAUCAGCUAGUAGGUGAGGUAAUGGCUUACCUAGGCUUCGACGGUUAGCCGGUCUGAGAGGAUGAUCGGCCACAUUGGAACUGAAACACGGUCCAGACUCCUACGGGAGGCAGCAGUGAGGAAUCUUGCGCAAUGGGCGAAAGCCUGAACCGCAGCGACACCGCGUGAGGGAUGAAGGUCUUCGGAUUGUAAACCUUUGUCAGUGGGGACGAGAACGGACGGUACCCGCUGAGGAAGCAUCGGCUUACUACGUGCCAGCAGCCGC